UAACAGGAUUCCCCUAGUAACUGCGAGUGAAGCGGGAAAAGCUCAAAUUUAAAAUCUGAUAGCUUUGCUGUCCGAGUUGUAAUCUGGAGAAGCAUUUUCCGCGUCGGACCGUGUACAAGUCUCUUGGAACAGAGCGUCAUAGAGGGUGAGAAUCCCGUCCAUGACACGGACUACCGAUGCUUUGUGAUAUGCUCUCGAAGAGUCGAGUUGUUUGGGAAUGCAGCUCAAAAUGGGUGGUAAAUUCCAUCUAAAGCUAAAUAUUGGCGAGAGACCGAUAGCGAACAAGUACCGUGAGGGAAAGAUGAAAAGCACUUUGGAAAGAGAGUUAAACAGUACGUGAAAUUGUUGAAAGGGAAACGCUUGAAGUCAGUCGCGUUGUCUGAGACUCAGCCUUGCUUGCAUGGUGUACUUCUCAGUUAACGGGUCAACAUCAAUUUUGGUUGGUGGAUAAAGGUGGAGGAAAUGUGGCACCCUUCCGGUGUGUUAUAGUCCUUCAUUGCAUACACUGACUGGGAUUGAGGAACGCAGCACGCCACUAUGGCCGGGGGUUCGCCCCACGUAACGUGCUUAGGAUGUUGGCAUAAUGGCUUUAAGCGACCCGUCUUGAAACACGGACCAAGGAGUCUAACAUGCUUGCGAGUGUUAGGGUGGAAAACCCUUGCGCGUAAUGAAAGUGAAAGUUGGGACCCUUCGCGGGGGCACCGACGCCCGGCCCUGAAGUUUACUGACGGCGCUGCGGUAGAGCACGUAUGUUGGGACCCGAAAGAUGGUGAACUAUGCCUGAAUAGGGUGAAGCCAGGGGAAACUCUGGUGGAGGCUCGUAGCGAUUCUGACGUGCAAAUCGAUCGUCAAAUUUGGG
rnacentral:rRNA from 1 species